rnacentral:rRNA from 1 species
GACGAACGCUGACGGUGUGCUUUAGGCAUGCAAGUCGAACGAGAAAGCCCUUCGGGUGAGUAAAGUGGCGAACGGGUGAGUAACACGUGGGCAACCUGCCCCUCGCAGGGGGACGAACCGGAGGAAACUCCGGCUAAUACCCCGUACGUUCCCAGGGUCGCAUGGCCCUGGGAGGAAAGGUAGCUUCGGCCAUCCGGCGAGGGAUGGGCCCGCGGUGCAUUAGCUAGUUGGUGGGGUAACGGCCCACCAAGGCGACGAUGCAUAGCUGGUCUGAGAGGAUGAUCAGCCACACUGGGACUGAGACACGGCCCAGACUCCUACGGGAGGCAGCAGCCAGGAAUCUUGGCAAUGGGCGCAAGCCUGACCCAGCAACACCGUGUGGGCAUG